GUCGAACGCUGGCGGCGUGCUUAACACAUGCAAGUCGAACGGAAAGACCCUGCUUUUGUGGGGUGCUCGAGUGGCGAACGGGUGAGUAACACGUGAGUAACCUGCCCUUGACUUUGGGAUAACUUCAGGAAACUGGGGCUAAUACCGGAUAGGAGCUCCUGCUGCAUGGUGGGGGUUGGAAAGUUUCGGCGGUUGGGGAUGGACUCGCGGCUUAUCAGCUUGUUGGUGGGGUAGUGGCUUACCAAGGCUUUGACGGGUAGCCGGCCUGAGAGGGUGACCGGCCACAUUGGGACUGAGAUACGGCCCAGACUCCUACGGGAGGCAGCAGUGGGGAAUAUUGCACAAUGGGCGGAAGCCUGAUGCAGCACCGCCGCGUGCGGGAUGACGGCCUUCGGGUUGUAAACCGCUUUCGCCUGUGACGAAGCGUGAGUGACGGUAAUGGGUAAAGAAGCACCGACUAACUACGUG
rnacentral:rRNA from 1 species